UACGGAGGGAGCUAGCGUUGUUCGGAAUUACUGGGCGUAAAGAGUACGUAGGCGGCUAUUCAAGUCAGAGGUGAAAGCCCGGGGCUCAACCCCGGAACUGCCUUUGAAACUAGAUAGCUAGAGUCUUGGAGAGGUUAGUGGAAUUCCGAGUGUAGAGGUGAAAUUCGUAGAUAUUCGGAAGAACACCAGUGGCGAAGGCGACUAACUGGACAAGUACUGACGCUGAGGUACGAAAGCGUGGGGAG
rnacentral:rRNA from 1 species